GGGGCUGUAGUCUAGCUUGGUAGGACUUACGCUUGGGGUGUUUAACCUAAAAUGCGUACAACCUGAGUUCAAAUCUCAGCAGUCCCA
rnacentral:tRNA from 1 species